CACGUAGGGCGCAAGCGUUGUCCGGAUUAUUGGGCGUAAAGAGCUCGUAGGCGGUCUGUUGCGUCCGCUGUGAAAACUCGGGGCUUAACCCCGAGCCUGCAGUGGAUACGGGCAGACUAGAGGUAGGUAGGGGAGAAUGGAAUUCCCGGUGUAGCGGUGAAAUGCGCAGAUAUCGGGAGGAACACCGGUGGCGAAGGCGGCGACCUGGGUAGAUACUGACGCUGAGGUGCGAAAGCGUGGGGAGCAAACAGG
rnacentral:rRNA from 1 species